AGGAUGGUCUCAAUUUCCUGACCUCGUGAUACACCCUCCUCGGCCUCCCAAAGUCCUGGGAUUCCAGGCGUGAGCCACUGCGCCUGGCCGUAAAUUUUUUUAUUUUAAGAACGAAAUGAAGUUAGACUCUGUUUCUUACAUUUGGAGAUGAAGAAUUGUCCUGUAAACAUGUAGGCGCAAAGGAUAAAUAUAUAUUGAAAAUGUGAUAGAAGGCAUUGGAGUGCUACCCAGAAAAUUAUGAUGUAUGACAAUAAAAUUGAGAAGAGAAGGCAGAUUCAAAGAGGAUCUCUCCCUGUGGUGCCUAGGUUGGUUUAAAACUCUUGGCCUCAAGCGAUCCUCCCACCUUGAAUUCCCAAAGCAAGGUGCUAUUAGUAAUUGGCUCAGAGAACUCGCCAUUAGGGGCAGUGCAUCACUUAACAAUGGCUGGGCGUGAAAGAGAAUGCAAUUGGAGAAACUGGUUGUUUUACCAGGCGUUGAUUGGAAAUGUGUGCUUCCCUUUAAGCAGUCAAGCUCAACUUGCAGAACUGAUGGGAACCCCUUGGGAAAACUGGCCUCAAAUGUUUGUCUACACAGUCCACAUACAGGGUUCUUAACCUGCGAUGGAGUCUUGUUCUGUGGUCCAGGCUAGAGGGCAGUGGCAUGAUCUCGGCUCACUACAAGCUCUGCCUCCCGGGUUCACGCCAUUCUCCUGCCUCAGCCUCCUGAGUAGCUGGGACUACAG
rnacentral:lncRNA from 1 species